UUUUUUUUUGUUUUUUGGUAGUGUAAUCUAAUCGCGAGUUUAAUUUGAUAACGAAGAAACAAUGUUAUAGUCAUAGAAGAUUGGGCGAGCGCACACAAGGGUUACAAAUUUCGAAAUUUUUACCUAAAGUAUUUAUGUUUGACCCCAUUUAAAAAAUAAAUGUAAUCUGUUUGACAACAAAAAUUUCUGAAUUCAAAAU
rnacentral:lncRNA from 1 species